rnacentral:lncRNA from 1 species
AGAGUUCAAAAUUCCGGUUGAAACUUCACCGCGUAGCUAGGUGCUAACCAUAAACUGCUUAAAAUUUCAGUGAGAUAUAGCUUGGUCGAAAUUUCAAAACACGUUUGUCGAAUUGUGUAAAGAAGUCAAAUUUAGGACUUGGAAGGCAAACUUCUGAAUACAAUACCUAAGUUGAUGAACAUAUGAUACGACGUGACAAGCUUUUAUUAUGGGUCAAAAAGUGCCGCAUAGAGAAAGAAAGAACAGCGGACGACCGAAGAGAUGAAAGAAGUUCGGAGACGUUUGCAGGAGAAAAACUCUAAUGAAAUUACAAUUUUCAUUGUACACAAGUCCUAAAAACCAGCAGGUAACCAUGAGUAUGAGCUGCUAUUGCUCAAAGCUACUGAAGUAAAGGAAAGCCCUGAUAUUACAAUUGAUGUAAGAAAAAAGCUUCAAAUUCGGUGGAGACACACUAAAUUCAAAUUCCAACGUCAUCAGUAAGCUAUUAUUAUACUUAAUUAUAGUAUAGAUUAUUUAUUAAAGAAAAGAGGAGCUGUAAAAAUGAAAAAAUUCAAUUCGUGAGUUACACAUGUAAUAUCGACGGUGAAACUACCAAACCACGUAUCUCGGUUUGCGACGUCGCAGACUUCCUGUCAUACUUUAUUUUUUAAAUGAAAAACUACUUAACGUCCAGUCUUGAAAAUUUCUGUGAUUUUUCCUCUUUGUGCGGAGAAAAUUCUGUGAAAAUUUCAAGAAAUGAUAUUGAUUUGGUCCAUUUAAAAUAAAAUAAAUGUGAGCGUAGAUUUUUAAACACCGCAAACGAGAUACGUGGUUUGGUAGUUUCACCGUCGAUAUGCUUCAUCGAUGCAAUAAUUAAUUUGAUAA